rnacentral:lncRNA from 1 species
GGCUCCCCGAAGACGCAUUCCAGUGCCAAGCAGCCGAGAGAGCAGAGCGGGGAGGAAGGAGACCCUCUUACGGAUGUCACUGCAGGGUCAGGUCCUCACUCACUUUCCCACCAGGGGACCCCUCCAGCCACCCGGUCCUAUGAUUCUCAAUCGGGAAUCACAGGCGUUACAAGCCUGUGUUCAUUCGUUCCUUAUCGUAGAAUGCAUUGCUGAUGAAUGCAACAACAUGAAGAGCUCUCAAAAACGAUAUGCAUACCUAGUGAAUGACUGAUUACAUUUGGAUGAAGUGCAGG